rnacentral:rRNA from 1 species
UACAGAGGUCUCAAGCGUUGUUCGGAUUCAUUGGGCGUAAAGGGCGCGUAGGCGGCUUGUAUAGUCGGAUGUGAAAUUCCUGGGCUUAACCUGGGGGCUGCAUACGAGACGUAUGGGCUUGAGUGCGGAAGAGGGUCGUGGAAUUCCCAGUGUAGAGGUGAAAUUCGUAGAUAUUGGGAAGAACACCGGUGGCGAAGGCGGCGACCUGGUCCAUUACUGACGCUGAGGCGCGACAGCGUGGGGGAGCAAACAGG